ACGCUCGACACCUACGGGGGGCAGCAGUGGGGAAUAUUGCACAAUGGGGGAAACCCUGAUGCAGCGACGCCGCGUGAGCGAAGAAGUAUUUCGGUAUGUAAAGCUCUAUCAGCAGGGAAGAAAAUGACGGUACCUGACUAAGAAGCCCCGGCUAACUACGUGCCAGCAGCCGGCGGUAAUCUGAGCGGGCUGGCAAGGC
rnacentral:rRNA from 1 species